AAACGUCUCAGAAGUGAAUUUAAUAGUGAAAUUGCAAACAAACAAUGUAUAAAUGCAAUGCCUGAAAUAUGA